AGUGAACGCUGGCGGUAGGCCUAACACAUGCAAGUCGAACGGCAGCACAGUAAGAGCUUGCUCUUACGGGUGGCGAGUGGCGGACGGGUGAGGAAUACAUCGGUAUCUACUUUUUCGUGGGGGAUAGCGUAGGGAAACUUACGCUAAUACCGCAUACGACCUACGGGUGAAAGCAGGGGAUCUUCGGACCUUGCGCGAUUGAAUGAGCCGAUGUCGGAUUAGCUAGUUGGCGGGGUAAAGGCCCACCAAGGCGACGAUCCGUAGCUGGUCUGGGAGGAUGAUCAGCCACACUGGAACUGAGACACGGUCCAGACUCCUACGGGAGGCAGCAGUGGGGAAUAUUGGACAAUGGGCGCAAGCCUGAUCCAGCCAUACCGCGUGGGUGAAGAAGGCCUUCGGGUUGUAAAGCCCUUUUGUUGGGAAAGAAAAGCAGCAGGUUAAUACCCCGCUGUUCUGACGGUACCCAAAGAAUAAGCACCGGCUAACUUCGU
rnacentral:rRNA from 1 species